GGUCAGGACCCAGAGUAGUGGGUGGGCCUGGGUCCUCCACCCCCUUGCACCCCAUUUGCUAAUGAGGAGAGUGGCUGGUAUCCAGACUGCACUUUACCCCUGAAAUGAAGGGCUGGAUGUUGAACUGCAGUUGGAUGCUGAGGCAAGUGGUGGGACUAAGGACUGCUGGUCCACUAGAAUGGAGAGAUACUGGAGUGGGGGCACAGCUGGAGGACAGUGCCCAGAAGAGGAUGCUGCAGUCCGGGGAGCGAUGUGCGUCCAAACAGUGGAGACAGCAGUAACAUCAGGGAAGCUACAACAACUGCCUGUCUUUACUGCAGGGAUUGCUUGGAAGCUUAUCCAUGGAGGAAUGUGCCUGAGCUUUUCUGCAGGGAAUUACCUAGUCUGAUCCUCCUGUAGGAGAAGGAAGCUCUGAUUCCUAGGCUCUUUGCUCUUUACCUGACCUUGGCUUUCCUGACCUGUUAUAUGCUCUCCUCAGCAUGGGACACAACCCAUUCAUUUCCCCUGGAUCAAAAAGAAAUACUUUUGUAAAACUCCCUAUUGAGCGUAUCGUUGUUGUUCAAAAGCUACAGACUGUUUGUGUAUGAUUUUUGUCUUGGCUAACACAUCGUCAUUAUGUUCCAUAACAUCUGGUGGCGUCAGCCGUGUCAUGCUGACACAAAUCAGCUUGUGUUGACAACCCAGAAUUUUUGGAAGGCAAUAGCAAAUAGUUGGAUUGCACUUCUCUUUAGAGAGCCACAUUUUUCAUGAACAGCUUGUGAUGUCAUUACAUAAAUCAGCCUGUUAGUGAAUUCUCAGCAAGAACAUUCAAUUUACAGCCAUAGAGUGUACUUUAGACCUUUCAGCCAUGUUUUUUGAGUGCCUGUGAUGCACACAUUUAGCAAAAGAACUAGAACACUCUGGGCCCGCUUCUGCCACACUUUCACAUAGAGUACGUCAUCACUAGAUUUUUGUACUUGCAGUUGACUGCCAGUUAACUCAAGGUAGUUAACAUGUUUGUAAAAGCUAGUGUGGACACUCCCCACGUGUUUGGUCUACCACACUAAAAACUUUUGUUCUUUACCCUAUGAUGAUCCCUAGCAUAAAAAAACCCAAACGUUUGUAGCCUGGAUGAAAUGUGUGGAGUAUGUCCAUACUAGCUGGUACAAAUGUGUAACUAUAUCUUGAGUUAAUUUGCAAUUGGCUAGUGAAGACUUACCUUCAGUAGCACCAUACUUCUCAAGUAGUUUCACUGAAUUCCAGAAAGCUACCUGAAGAGUAAAGUCCUUCUGAGAAUUAGGCUCUUUGAAGUGUAUUCAGCCUUCUGUUUCCAUCAGCAAUUUAUGUGUUCUCUAACACAUUUUUGUGGUCAGUUAGAAAUUGGAGUACUUCAUACCUUGUCUACAACUGCAUUGUGAAAUAAAAUAGAAACUGUAGAUGCAAGAGUCUGAUAGAAUUGCAGGGAAAUUAACAUUUUCUAUCCACUCCACAAGGUGUUGAGACUGUUCAUUAAAGUUUGUAACCUGUUUUGAUGCCCUUAGAUAAACUUGCAACAUAUACAUGCAAAUAUUAUUGCUCUCAGAGUGCAUAUACAUAUACACCUACUCAAAGCAAAAUGUAGUAGUGUGCUAAUAAAAUGUCUGUUAUGUGUGUAUUUGUGCCUCUAUAUAUGUGAUGAUAGAGAUGCAUGCUCCACCCUCACACUAUUUUCUGAUUUACACAUUGAUAGCUACUAGAAACCAUUUUAUUUAAUAUAGAAUCCCAAACUCAAGGUUGGAUUUGACCAUCUCACCCAGUAAAAUCUAAACCCCUUUGGUUCUGAUAGCAGCCAGUUUGAAUUUAAUGUGGUUCAGGAAGAAAGCCCGAGUGUCUAUGAAAUCCUGAUUUUUAAAACAAACUUUUAUUUUCACCUAUUUUCUGCUGAUUCUGACUUAAGGUGGUGUAGUGUGCUGUGGGAGGAGGGACAGGCAUAAGGACAGGAGAUGCUUGUUGGGGAUGGGAGGGAGAGGGCUACAGUGCAUAGUGCAGUGGAGAUUGUGAGUAGUACUGUGACCUAUGUGCAGCUGGGCAAGGGUUACAUAUAUUGCAGUGAGGGCCACACCAGCUCCCAGAACAGUCUAGAUUUGGGAGGAUGCAAAAGUGGAUUAAAAUCAGUUUAGCCUCCCCACUCUGGACUACUCCUGUCCUGUGCAUGUAUAGGAGGGUCAAACACUUAGUUGCUUCUGUAGGCCAACCCCAUUACACACACCAGGGGUUCCUUACGUUCCUCCAUCUCCCCCCCCCCACCCCCAGCUUCCUGUAUGCUCCCUUCCUGUAUGUACCCUCCCUUCCCCUCUUUCAGGGACUCCCUGCAACCCACACCUCAUCCCCUUCCUCAUGCCUGGGGCUUUGUGUCCCACAUUCCCCCUUCCCCUGUACCCUUCUCUGCCCUCUUCCCCUGAUGCCAGGGGUUCUGUGUGUGCUGCCAUUGCCCCCUUCUCCCUGUGUCCCCCCCAUUCACCCCUUCCAGGAUCUCUCAUUCUCCUUCCCACCCCCAUGUCAGAGGCUCCUUGUGCCUUCUCAUUCCCCCUUUUCUACCCUAGCAGGAGCUCUCUGUGCCCUCCCAGCCCUGCCUCCACCACAUGCCAGUGGCUGUGACCGUCCUCACUCCCCACAUCCCCCUAUUCUUCCCCCUCAGGGCAGAGGUUCCAUGUGCCUUCAUUUCCCUCUUCCUACCACCUUUCUUAUUUUCUUUUAGUCUGGGAGAUAAGUCAUUCAGGGUGUCAACUUUUAAACUAUACUGGGAAAAUGGGCAGAGGUGAGAUGUGGGGUACUGUUAUGCUGGGAGGUGUUAAUGAGAUCCUUGGGUCUUUGAUCUAUAGACAGUUACUCAGGUGGUUGAACUUGUUGGGCCUGUUUACCAGUUGUCAGGGGCAUCAUGUGUCCCCCAUUCUCCCUUUCUGUGCACUGCAUGAUACAGUGGUUCAGUGGGGGAGAAAAGUGUAUAAUCAUAUAAUUAAAGACUGUAGCACAGAGCAUAUGCACA